AUGAUAAUUCCAUUCGUUUCAAUUCGAAGGUGUUUCCAUUCUAUUCCAUUCGAUGUUGAUUCCAUUAGUUUCCAUUGGAUGAUGAUUCCAUUCGAGUCCAUUCAAUGAAGAUCACAUUUGAUUUCAUUCCAUAAUUCUAUUCGAUUCCAUUUGAUGAUGAUUCCAUUCGUUUCCAUCCGAUGAUGAUUCCAUUUGAUUCCAUUCGAUGACUAUUCCAUUCGAGUCCAUUUGAUGAUUCCAUUCGAUUCCAUUUGAUGAUGAUUGCAUUCGAGUCCAUGGAUUAUUCCAUUCCAUUCCAUUCCAUUCGAUGA
rnacentral:lncRNA from 1 species